GAGCCGUUCCCAGUCCGUCCCC
rnacentral:siRNA from 1 species